rnacentral:rRNA from 1 species
GAUGAACGCUGGCGGCGUGCCUAAUACAUGCAAGUCGAGCGAACGGACGAGAAGCUUGCUUCUCUGAUGUUAGCGGCGGACGGGUGAGUAACACGUGGAUAACCUACCUAUAAGACUGGGAUAACUUCGGGAAACCGUAGCUAAUACCGGAUAAUAUUUUGAACCGCAUGGUUCAAAAGUGAAAGACGGUCUUUCUGUCACUUAUAGAUGGAUCCGCGCUGCAUUAGCUAGUUGGUAAGGUAACGGCUUACCAAGGCAACGAUGCAUAGCCGACCUGAGAGGGUGAUCGGCCACACUGGAACUGAGACACGGUCCAGACUCCUACGGGGGGCAGCAGUAGGGAAUCUUCCGCAAUGGGCGAAAGCCUGACGGAGCAACGCCGCGUGAGUGAUGAAGGUCUUCGGAUCGUAAAACUCUGUUAUUAGGGAAGAACAUAUGUGUAAGUAACUGUGCACAUCUUGACGGUACCUAAUCAGAAAGCCACGGCUAACUACGUG